UACGAAGGGGGCUAGCGUUGCUCGGAAUUACUGGGCGUAAAGGGCGCGUAGGCGGCGUGAUCAGUCAGGCGUGAAAUUCCUGGGCUUAACCUGGGGGCUGCGCUUGAUACGGUCGUGCUAGAGGGCAGAAGAGGGUCGUGGAAUUCCCAGUGUAGAGGUGAAAUUCGUAGAUAUUGGGAAGAACACCGGUGGCGAAGGCGGCAUCCUGGACCGACACUGACACUGAGGAGCGAAAGCCAGGGGAGCAAACGGG
rnacentral:rRNA from 1 species